AUCGCUUCUCGGCCUUUGGGCUAAGAUCAAGUGUAGUAUCUGUUCUUAUCAGUUUAAUAUCUGAUACAUCCUCUAUAUGAGAACUACAUAUUAAAUAGAUUUUUAGAACAGGGAGAAGGAAGAGGGGCUUGCUCUGUCCGCUCCACGCAUCAACCUGGUAUUGCAGUACCUCCGGGAAUGGUGCACCUCCU
ensembl:snRNA U2 U2 spliceosomal RNA